UACGAAGGGGGCUAGCGUUGCUCGGAAUUACUGGGCGUAAAGGGAGCGUAGGCGGACUGUUUAGUCAGAGGUGAAAGCCCAGGGCUCAACCUUGGAAUUGCCUUUGAUACUGGCAGUCUUGAGUACGGAAGAGGUAUGUGGAACUCCGAGUGUAGAGGUGAAAUUCGUAGAUAUUCGGAAGAACACCAGUGGCGAAGGCGACAUACUGGUCCGUUACUGACGCUGAGGAGCGAAAGCGUGGGGAGCGAACAGG
rnacentral:rRNA from 1 species